GAUGAAGAACGUAGCGAAAUGCGAUAAGUAAUGUGAAUUGCAGAAUUCAGUGAAUCAUCGAAUCUUUGAACGCACAUUGCGCCCAUUAGUAUUCUAGUGGGCAUGCCUGUUCGAGCGUCAUUAAGUCCACUUAAGCCCUGCUUAGUGUUGGGAGACUGCUCCAGCGGUGCUACCCUGUAGCUACCCUGCAGCUCCUCAAAGACAGCGGCGGAGUUGUGGUAUCCUCUGAGCUUAGUAACUUGUUUUAGCUUUCGAGUACACCACUUCCCCUGCCGUAAAACCCUUAAUUUUUAAUGGUUGACCUCGGAUCAGGUAGGAAUACCCGCUGAACUUAAGCAUAUCAAUAAGCGGAGGA
rnacentral:misc_RNA from 1 species